UGCCAUAAAUGAGACUGCGUUAUGAACCAGGGAUUAUGAUUAAUCUAGUUCUAUACACCUGAGGUCUACAUA
rnacentral:snoRNA from 1 species